AAGGAAUGAUGUCAGAAAGAAAUCAGGGCAUUUUAAUAAAUGUGGAUGAUGACUGCAUAUACAUGUGUGUACACACACACACACAUAUAUAUUUUUGUGUAUAUAUUUAUGUGUGUUUGUAUGUGUGUGUGUGUGGUGCUGGGGAUUGAACCCAGGGCCUCA
rnacentral:sRNA from 1 species